rnacentral:rRNA from 1 species
AUUGAACGCUGGCGGCAGGCCUAACACAUGCAAGUCGAACGCGUGGCGGACGGGUGAGUAAUGUCUGGGAACCUGCCUUAUGGCGGGGGAUAACUACUGGAACCGGUAGCUAAUACCGCAUACCAUCAGAUGUGCCCAGAUUGGAUUAGCUAGUUGGUGGGGUAACGGCUCACCAAGGCGACGAUCCCUAGCUGGUCUGAGAGGAUGACCAGCCACACUGGAACUGAGACACGGUCCAGACUCCUACGGGAGGCAGCAGUGGGGAAUAUUCCGCAAUGGGCGAAAGCCUGAUGCAGCAAUGCCGCGUGUAUGAAGAAGGCCUUCGGAUUGUAAAGUACUUUCAGCGGGGAAGCGUUACCCGCAGAAGAAGCACCGGCUAACUCCGUGCCAGCCGCCGCGGUAAUAC